CCAGAUCUAAAAAAAACCUUAAUUUUGAGUCCUCUCCUCUUCGACAAAUCCUCUUCAACAAAACCAAAUCUACUCUUCGCCACCGUGAACAUUUCUUCUUCUCUGCCUCUCGUCGGAGCUCGCCGGUGAUUCGUCGGCCUCUACCUCUUCGAGUCUUCGGUCUUCACUUUGAUUCGAGACUAUGUCUCUCUGCCUCGACCACCCAUUCACGACUCUGUCUUCUCUCUUUUUCGGUUCUCUUCUUCAUUCGUUGGUGGCUCACCGGAGCUCAUGCUCAUCAAUUGAGGAACAAUUAUUUGACACUGGACGCUGACAUAUGGAAAGAGUCGAUUCCUAUCUUUGAAGGAUUAUUAUGUCUAUUGGCUAAAAUGUCCGUAGAUAAAACUCAUUUUAUGCUGCAUUCUGAUCCUUGAGCUUUGUUGCUGGAGUCUUCAGUCUUGCACUUUAUCCAGAGUAUUUUGGGAUUCAAAGUUAUCAUCCGGGACCUAAUCAGUCUGAUUCAAGUAAACCUAGUUCAUAAGGUUUGUUGACUGUGUCGACUGGGAGAGGUGUUAAUACGGUGACAAUAAGGGAGCAAGCAAUGAAACAGGAAGAGCUUAAUUGAAUUUGACUAGCAGAAUAGUAAUUAAUUCUGACAAUUCUUUAUAAUUAGUAAUUUCAAGUUGAUGAUUUUUACUUUUCCUAUUAUAAGAUCAAUGUGAAUUGUGAAAUUUGUUGAGAACUGACUAGUAAUAUGGGUUGCAUAAAAAUUUCCUGAAACUCUAAUGUACAUAACUUUCUCUACAGAAUGAUAUACACUUUAAAA